AUGCAUCUCUUAUCUUUUGGUUUAUUUCUUAUAAAUCGGGAUCACACUUCAACAGACCAUACUUGCAAGUGCAUUUGCUCGUAAGGACCAUCCGAAGGCCACUGCCACAGCUUCUCGUAUCUUGCAGCUGGCUUUGGUCUUGGGACUUCUCCUAAGCAUACUUCUUGGUGUUGGUCUGCGCAUAGGGUCCAGAUUAUUUACAUCCGAUCAGGGUGUACUGCAUCAUAUCUACAUAGGAAUA